GUCCAGACUCCUACGGGAGGCAGCAGUGGGGAAUAUUGCACAAUGGGGGAAACCCUGAUGCAGCAACGCCGCGUGAGUGAAGAAGUAUUUCGGUAUGUAAAGCUCUAUCAGCAGGGAAGAAAAUGACGGUACCUGAGUAAGAAGCCCCGGCUAACUACGUGCCAGCAGCCGCGGUAAUACGUAGGGGGCAAGCGUUAUCCGGAUUUACUGGGUGUAAAGGGAGCGUAGACGGCGAUGCAAGUCUGAAGUGAAAGCCCGGGGCUCAACCCCGGGACUGCUUUGGAAACUGUAUGGCUGGAGUGCUGGAGAGGCAAGCGGAAUUCCUAGUGUAGCGGUGAAAUGCGUAGAUAUUAGGAAGAACACCAGUGGCGAAGGCGGCUUGCUGGACAGUAACUGACGUUGAGGCUCGAAAGCGUGGGGAGCAAACAGGAUUAGAUACCCCGGUAA
rnacentral:rRNA from 1 species